rnacentral:rRNA from 1 species
CGUAGGGUGCGAGCGUUGUCCGGAAUUACUGGGCGUAAAGAGCUCGUAGGUGGUUUGUCGCGUUGUCCGUGAAAACUCACAACUCAAUUGUGGGCGUGCGGGCGAUACGGGCAGACUGGAGUACUGCAGGGGAGACUGGAAUUCCUGGUGUAGCGGUGGAAUGCGCAGAUAUCAGGAGGAACACCGGUGGCGAAGGCGGGUCUCUGGGCAGUAACUGACGCUGAGGAGCGAAAGCGUGGGGAGCGAACAGG